AUUGAACGCUGGCGGCAGGCCUAACACAUGCCAGUCGAGCGGAUGAAGGGAGCUUGUUCCUGGUUCCAGCGGCGGACGGGUGCGUAAUGCCUAGGAAUCUGCCUGGUAGUGGGGGAUAACGUCCGGAAACGGGCGCUAAUACCGCAUCCGUCCUGCGGGAGAAAGUGGGGGAUCUUCGGACCUCACGCUCUCAGAUGAGCCUAGGUCGGAUUAGCUAGUUGGUGGGGUAAAGGCCUACCAAGGCGACGAUCCGUAACUGGUCUGAGAGGAUGAUCAGUCACACUGGAACUGAGACACGGUCCAGACUCCUACGGGAGGCAGCAGUGGGGAAUAUUGGACAAUGGGCGAAAGCCUGAUCCAGCCAUGCCGCGUGUGUGAAGAAGGUCUUCGGAUUGUAAAGCACUUUAAGUUGGGAGGAAGGGCAGUAAGUUAAUACCUUGCUGUUUUGACGUUACCAGCAGAAGAAGCACCGGCUAACUUCGUG
rnacentral:rRNA from 1 species